rnacentral:rRNA from 1 species
GCUUACGGCCAUACCACCCUGAAUGCGCCCGAUCUCGUCUGAUCUCGGAAGCUAAGCAGGGUCAGGCCUGGUUAGUACUUGGAUGGGAGACCGCCUGGGAGUACCAGGUGCUGUAAACU